rnacentral:rRNA from 1 species
GAUGAACGCUGGCGGCGUGCCUAAUACAUGCAAGUCGGACGGAGUGUUAGCAAUAGCACUUAGUGGCGAACGGGUGAGUAACGCGUUGGUGACCUGCCCCGAAGCGGGGGAUAACAGCUCGAAAGGGCUGCUAAUACCCCAUGAAGUCUUUCUGGUUAGAGGCGGGAAGACGAAAGGAGAAAUCCGCUACGGGAGGGGCCUGCGUCCCAUCAGCUAGUUGGUAAGGUAAAAGCCUACCAAGGCGAAGACGGGUAGGGGGCCUGAGAGGGUGAUCCCCCACACUGGCACUGAAACACGGGCCAGACACCUACGGGUGGCAGCAGUAGGGAAUAUUGCACAAUGGGCGAAAGCCUGAUGCAGCAACGCCGCGUGCGCGAAGAAGGCCUUCGGGUCGUAAAGCGCUUUUCGGGGAGAUGAGGAAGGACAGUAUCCCCGGAAUAAGGCUCGGCUAACUACGUGCCAGCAGCCGCGGUAACACGUAGGAGCCAAGCGUUAUCCGAAUUCACCGGGCGUAAAGCGCGUGCAGGCGGCUCGGUAAGUUGGAUGUGAAAGCUCCUGGCUCAACUGGGAGAGGACGUUCAAUACUGUCGGGCUAGAGGAUGGCAGAGGGAGGUGGAAUUCCCGGUGUAGUGGUGAAAUGCGUAGAUAUCGGGAGGAACACCAGUGGCGAAGGCGGCCUUCUGGGCCAUACCUGACGCUCAGACGCGAAAGCUAGGGGAGCGAACGGGAUUAGAAACCCCGGUAGUCCUAGCCGUAAACGAUGUAGACUUGGUGUAGGUGGUGUAAAAGCCAUCUGUGCCGAAGCCAACGCGAUAAGUCUACCGCCUGGGGACUACGGCCGCAAGGUUAAACUCAAAG